UCGGGAAUUUUGGGCAAUGGGCGAAAGCCUGACCCAGCAACGCCGCGUGAGGGAUGAAGUAUUUCGGUAUGUGAACCUCGAAAGAAUGGGAAGAAUAAAUGACGGUACCAUUUAUAAGCUCCGGCUAACUACGUGCCAGCAGCCGCGGUAAUACGUAGGGAGCAAGCGUUGUUCGGAUUUACUGGGCGUAAAGGGCGCGUAGGCGGCGCGGUAAGUCACUUGUGAAAUCUCUGAGCUUAACUCAGAACGGCCAAGUGAUACUGCUGUGCUAGAGUGCGGAAGAGGCAACCGGAAUUCUUGGUGUAGCGGUGAAAUGCGUAGAUAUCAAGAGGAACACCUGAGGCGAAGGCGGGUUGCUGGGCCGACACUGACGCUGAUGCGCGAAAGCCAGGGGAGCAAACG
rnacentral:rRNA from 1 species